GUCUCUGUGGCGCAAUCGGUUAGCGUGUUUGGCUGUUAACUAAAAGGUUGGUGGUUUGAGCCCACCCAGGCACA
rfam:Lepisosteus oculatus linkage group LG10, whole genome shotgun sequence.